rnacentral:tRNA from 1 species
CGCGAAGUAGAGCAGCGGUAGCUCGUUGGGCUCAUAACCCAAAGGUCGGGAGUUUCGAUCCUCCCUUCGCAA